AUUGAACGCUGGCGGCAUGCUUUACACAUGCAAGUCGAACGGUAGAGGGGGCAACCCCUUGAGAGUGGCGAACGGGUGAGUAAUGCAUCGGAACGUGCCCAGUAGUGGGGGAUAGCCCGGCGAAAGCCGGAUUAAUACCGCAUGAGACCUGAGGGUGAAAGCGGGGGACCAAGUAGCAAUAUUUGGCCUCGCGCUACUGGAGCGGCCGAUGUCAGAUUAGGUAGUUGGUGGGGUAAAGGCCUACCAAGCCGACGAUCUGUAGCUGGUCUGAGAGGACGACCAGCCACACUGGGACUGAGACACGGCCCAGACUCCUACGGGAGGCAGCAGUGGGGAAUUUUGGACAGUGGGCGAAAGCCUGAUUCAGCCAUGCCGCGUGCGGGAAGAAGGCCUUCGGGUUGUAAACCGCUUUUGUCAGGGAAGAAAUCCUUUGGGCUAAUACCCCGGGGGGAUGACGGUACCUGAAGAAUAAGCACCGGCUAACUACGUGCCAGCCGCCGCCGUAA
rnacentral:rRNA from 1 species